GCUUCUGUAGUGUAGUCCGGCCAAGCAUUGCGGGCUUUCACCCCGCCGACCCGGGUUCGAAUCCCGGCAGAAGCA
rnacentral:tRNA from 1 species